AGCGAACGCGACUGAAUGGUUCGAAUGAACGUCAAUAACGUUUCGGUCGAACUAAAAGUCGAUACAGGGUCUCAGGUCAAUUUGAUGCCCGUUGGAAUAUACAAAAGGAUGCGCCCAAGCCCUGAAAUGAAGCAAAGUAGCGCGGUGCUGCAUUCGUACGGUGGAGACACGAUCAAACAUCUUGGAGUCAUCCAAACGGAAGUAACGCUGGUUGACCGAACUGUUCCUCUCGAAUUUUUUGUGGUGCGCAAAGGUCGCGCUAUCCUAGGCCUACAAGCAACCGAACGACUUGGACUGCUCUCGCGCGUCCACAGCGUAUCACAGGACGACUGUGCAGAAAUCGUGAAAGAAUUUCGUCACAUUUUCACUGGGACAGGCUGCGUGAACAAAGUGUAUCACGUGGUUCUUCGAGACAACGCCGAGCCAGUCAUUCAACCAGUUCGACGCGUACCGUUGGCCCUGACAGAACCAUUACGGGGUGAACUUGAGAGGAUGGAGCACGCCGGAAUCAUCACAAAAGUCACCGAGCCUACUGACUGGGUAAGCAGCUCCUCCUGGCCGACAUGCUGUCCCGUGCCACAACCAAGACAACGGCCUGCGACCUCGACAGCAACGAUGUAAAGGUGCUUGCCGACAACUCCACUCGAGUGCGGCGCAUCGCCCGCUGAGCUGCUGAUGGGGCGAAGGCUCCGCACAACAAUUCCCGACGUUCAAGGCAAACCCAGUCACGAGGUGAUCCGGCGCCUUCAGACAGACCACUCUAGGGGAUCAGUGGCACGCCUGAGCCCUGGAGAUACGGUCCGGAUCAAGAAAGGUGCAUGGGACACGAAAGCAAAGGUUCUCAAGCCUGCUGGUUACCCGAGGUCGUAUACAGACGUCACUGAAAACGGCAUGGUGUUGAGGCGCAACCGGCAGCACCUGCUACUGACCCGGGAGCCCUUCCGACGCAGCGUACAGGAAGACGACGGCGAUGACUUCGAGGGAAACUCGGGCCAAAGAAAUGGGUCGGCACCUAGCUACACAGAAUGUACAGCCCCGUCUAUUCCCUCUGACCCCUGUGGCCCAAUUAGUGUCUCGUCCACACCAGCCCCAAGGAGGUCGCUCAUACAACGUCGACCUCCUCAACGUCUGGCCUACGAUGAGAACUUUGCGCAAGUGCCUGACAAUUUUCAUUAAUGUUAUUUUCCCAUUUCUUGUUUUGUUUUUCGUACAAAGGAAGAUGUAUCGUAUCUUGGGCGCCGAGCGCCACACGUGUUCCGCGCAAGCGCAUUAUAUGUCCCUACGCAUGCACCAUGUGCAUGCUGUGCAAACAACUUAUCUGUUCUUGAUAAAUAGACACACCCCUUCCUAAAACCUAUAUAUGUACACAUGUUCAAUAAAUCGGGGUUCUUUCCCCCGCUGCCCCGGCCCAGCAUGUUCGUCUUCCAAGGCGCUACGACGCUAUGACGCCUUCAACUUGCUCGUAUUCAACAACGUCGCGACGGUGGAUGCUGUUAUAAAAGAGUGCCGCCACCUGGAACUCGCUAAAAGCCGACGUAUCGACCAGCAGUUUGCCCGUUUGCCCAACACCCCAGCGACAUCCUCCUGUGCCGACGCUCCUCGUCCCAACAACACUGGUGAUAUUACCAAGAUCGUCCGGCGUGAGAUUGAAGCCGCCUAUCCGGCUGCCUUCGACUCCAGCCCCACCAACGCACCUUCAGUCACGGUUUCCCUGAUCCAGGCAGUUUUUCGCCAGGAGUUCGAAAACAUGGGCCUUCACACCAUCUGCUCGGCCCAUCGCCCUCAUACCCGCCCGGCUUCUUCGAUUUCGCCCCGUCCCGCAUCUUCUUACCCACCACGUUUCCGCUACCCAUCUGAAUGGCGCACUGCUGACGACAAGCCUAUUUGUUUCCACUGCCAUCGAAUCGGGCACAUUUCUCGGCACUGUCGUAGUCGCUGGAGUUCCCCGAUCCGGUCUACUUAUACUGCCUACUCUCACCCCUCAGGUGGCCCUUCUCGUCCCUAUGCCGCACGCUCCGAUAAUGCCGCCACUGAUUCUCCUGCAACGAACCGCCCCUAUUCUCGUUCGCCUUCGCCCCAACGACGAGAAUCUCGCUCUCCCCAGCCCCGUCGCUCCUUUUCGCCGACUCCCUUCGGACGCCGCUCUCAGCCGGAAAACUAGACGAAGCAGCACCUCGAGGUGACGCUGCAUUGCUCCAUACGCCGCCAAAUUCUCUACUGACGUUGCCCACUCAUCUAAACCUUCUUGACGUGCGAGUCGACGGUGUUCCUGUAUCUGCUCUUAUAGGCACUGGGGCGCAUUUGUCGGUAAUGAGCGCUGACCUUCGUACCAGCCUGAAAAAAAUAAUCACGCCCACCACGACGCAUGUCGUCCGUGUCGCCGAUGGCGGAACAGCGCCCGUAAUUGGUAUGUGUGCCGCCCGUGUCUCCUCGCCGAUCGCUCCACAAUUGUGCGCAAUCAUAGUCAUCGCCCACUGUCUCCACGACAUCAUCCCCGGCUUAGACUUCCUCUCCGCACACUCUGCUCUCAUCGAUUG